UUUUGCUGGAGCGGAUAGAAGUAAGCAUGCAGGCAUGAGUAGCGAUAAUUAAGGUGAGAAUCCUUAACGCCGAAAACCCAAGGUUUCCUACGCGAUGCUCGUCAUCGUAGGGUUAGUCGGGUCCUAAUUCGAGACUGAAAAGUGUAGACAAUGGCAAAUUGGUUAAUAUUCCAGACCAACAUAUAAGCGCGAUGUGGGACGCAUAGUGGAGUUGGGCCGAUUGGGCGCGGGGG
rnacentral:rRNA from 1 species